GAAAUCUUUCAGAGGUUCAGGUCCUUCCAGUGUGAAGUUUCUUCCUUGGAACUUCAAUUUCAUAUACUGGGUAGAAGGGAAAAAUUGAUGUUUGGUCUAUGUUGGAGAUAAAUUCUUAUAUGGAUUUCACCAUCUUAGGUUCUUUGAAAAUAUUAUCAGUAACCUGGAAGUGAUGCAUACCAACUUAUUUAUGCAAUUGGGAUCACGCAAAUGAUUUUUAUUUAUUUUUUAUUACUACAACAACAUACAUACAAGAAGGGAAUUCACUCAAACACAAUCAAUGCCUUCCCAUCUUCAGG